UACGAGGGGGGCGAGCGUUGUUCGGAAUUAUUGGGCGUAAAGGGUGGCGUAGGACGGUUCCGCAAGUCCUGUGUGAAAUCUUCGGGCUCAACUCGAAGUCUGCACGGGAAACUGCGGGGGCUUGAGUGUGGGAGAGGUGAGUGGAAUUCCCGGUGUAGCGGUGAAAUGCGUAGAUAUCGGGAAGAACACCAAACGGCGAAAAGCACUCCGCUGGGCUGAUACUGACACUG
rnacentral:rRNA from 1 species